AAAGGGGAAGGGAUGUGAAUACUUCCUGAAGACACAGGACAUGGAGGAUGAUAAAGUAGUGAUGGUGGAGAAAAGACCGUUGAAUAAAAUGAAUGGGCCGUGUUCCCACUGAUCAGACCAAGUCCAGGACUUGGUCUGCGUCUGGAAACGGGCUCUACCACAUAUAGGGUACUCUAUUGUAAGUGUUGUUUUGCAGGUGGAAUGUUCAGAACUAACACCAUGUUCUGGUAGAAUGUUCGAGUCACACCACUGUUCUAGAGGAAUGUUCUGAACACUCUGUGGGAGUGUUCCACUAUUCAUUUACACCUUUCCUUCAUUAGGAAUGUAGCCUCGUUAGAACCCCCCUCGUUAGCUUACCCUGUUACGAUCUGAGACCACCCAGCCAGACAGAGAGACAGCCAGCCAGACACGUACCCAUACAGCCAGACACACAUCCAUCCACCAAGACAGCCAGACACACACACACACAGCCAGACAGACACAGCCAGACAGACAGACACCCAGACAGCCAGACACGUACCCAUACAGCCAGACACACAUCCAUCCACCAAGACAGCCAGACACACACACACACAGCCAGCCAGACACACAGACAGAGAGACACGUACCCAUACAGCCAGACACACAUCCAUCCACCAAGACAGCCAGACACACACACACACACACAGCCAGACAGACACCCAGACAGAGAGACACGUACCCAGACAGCCAGACAUCCAUCCACCAAGACAGCCAGACACACACACACACACACAGCCAGACACCCACCCAGACAGAGAGACAGCCAGACACACACACACACACACAGCCAGACACCCACCCAGACAGAGAGACAGCCAGACACACACACACACACACAGCCAGACACCCACCCAGACAGAGAGACAGCCAGACACACACACACACACACAGCCAGACACCCACCCAGACAGACACAGCCAGCCAGACAUCCAUCCACCAAGACAGCCAGACACACACAUAGCCAGACAGACAGCCAGACAUCCACCCAGACAGACAGCCACCAACCCAGACAGUCACCCACCAAGACAGCCAGCCGGGUACCCAGACAGACACACAGCCAGACCCAGACAGACACACACACAGACACACACCCAGACAGACAGACAGACAGACAGGUACCCAGACAAACAGGUACCCAGACAGACACACAGACAGACACACACACACACCCAGACAGACAGACAGACAGACAGACAGACAGACAGACAGGUACCCAGACAGACAGGUACCCAGACAGACACACAGACAGACAGGUACCCAGACAGACACACAGACAGACAGGUACCCAGAGAGACAGACAGGUAUCCAGACAGACAGGUACCCAGACAGACAGCCUCACUGUGUUCCUCUACCUCACGCACACACUUUUUCUUCUCUGUCUGUCUCUCUCUCUCUUUCUGUCUGUCUUUCUCUCUCUGUCUCUCUUUGUCUCUGUCUGUCUCAAUCCAAUAUAAGGGCUUUAUUACCAUGGGAAACAUAUGCUAACAUUGCCAAAGCAAGUGAAGUCGAUAAUAUACAAAAGUGAAUUAAACAAAAAUGAACAGUAAACAUUACACUCACAGAAGUGC
rnacentral:lncRNA from 1 species